rnacentral:rRNA from 1 species
UACGUAGGUGGCAAGCGUUGUCCGGAUUUACUGGGCGUAAAGAGCGCGCAGGCGGUCGUUCAAGUCGCGUGUGAAAGCCCCCGGCUCAACUGGGGAGGGUCACGCGAUACUGAUCGACUGGAAGGCAGGAGAGGGUAGUGGAAUUCCCGGUGUAGUGGUGAAAUGCGCAGAUAUCAGGAAGAACACCAAUGGCGAAGGCAGCUCUCUGGGACGGUACUGACGCUGAGGAGCGAAAGCGUGGGGAGCGAACAGG